rnacentral:piRNA from 1 species
UGACUUAACUGUUCUGAGCCUGUGUC